rnacentral:rRNA from 1 species
CAGUAGCCGCGGGAAUACGGAGGGAGCUAGCGUUGUUCGGAAUUACUGGGCGUAAAGCGCACGUAGGCGGUUAUUCAAGUCAGAGGUGAAAGCCCGGGGCUCAACCCCAGAACUGCCUUUGAAACUAGAUGACUGGAAUCUUGGAGAGGUCAGUGGAAUUCCGAGUGUAGAGGUGAAAUUCGUAGAUAUUCGGAAGAACACCAGUGGCGAAGGCGACUGACUGGACAAGUAUUGACGCUGAGGUGCGAAAGCGUGGGGAGCAAACAGGAUUAGAUACCCCGGUAGUCCCUGUCUCUUAUAC